AAAAACCCACACACAUACGUAAAGCGACUGGAAAGAGGAAAACUAAAUAAAAUUGAAGUGAAUAUCUCUCUUGGAAAAUAAUGUGGUCAACUGACUUGCAAGAGAGAAGUUUAUUUUCAUUUAAAGAGUAGAAAACCACACAGUCUGGCUCUGGCCUCAGUUUUAGGAGAGAAAUCAGAAACAGGCACAGUUUUGACUACUUUCCAUCAUUUCCUCGGAAACCAAGCAGAAUCAAAAUUACAUCAUCAUGUAGGGACUUGGGAGCAAAAUGAAUGAUUCAACAGAACGGAAAAAGAAAUAUAAUCCAUCUUUUAGUGAACCAAACUUAAUAUCAGAAAGGGAAAUAAAAAGAAGACCCAAAAUUUUUACACUGUCACAUAAUCGUUAAAUAAAUUUUCCAUUUUUAAUAGCUUUCAUCUAACAAAAAAAUUAAUUUGUUGCAGCUAAUCCAUUUUUUGCAUUAAAAAUUAAAUCCCAAAACAGAAACACACCCAAACGCAUUUGCGCCAUAGAACUAAAAUCUAGCCAUUUUACCAUUAGGAGGAGGGAAAAAAGGGCCCUAUUUAAUUUUAGCUCCUCUUGUUGUUAUAAAUAAAAUAAAAAAAUAAAAAGCAUAUACGAAAUAGAAGUAAAGGCCCCCCAAAGUCGAUAUUUCAGAAACAGCAUAAAAUCCAUUCUCUACAAAAGUACUUUCGCAAUAAAGCCAAAUAUAAAAUCAACUAACAGCUCUGAACUCUACAUCGGAGCUCAAACCAAUCAUCGCUAUCUAAAAAAUAACAUUUUUGAACCGAUAGUGAAGAAGCAAGCAAUCAAAAACCCAAAAAAAUACGAACGCACGCAAUCAGAGCUUUAAGAAUAGCUGAAAAGAGUAGGACAAAAAGAACAAUUUCAUGCAAGGAAAAUUGAAAAUAAAUAAAUAAACAGUACCAGAUGAGAAAUGGCUUUGGGGAAGAGCGAGAUAACAGAGAAAAUGCGAGAAAUGGGAAACCGCAAUGUCGGAGGAUGGGGAGGUGCACGGAGGUAUUGGCGAUGGCAAAAAAGUGAGGAACAAUGGCUGGCAGUCUCGGUGUCCUCACCUUUCUCUCUCUUCGCGUGAUUUCCAGGCGAGAUAGAGUUCACUGGAGCUUAAACGGUGGAAGUGGAGGUCAGGAAAGGCCAGGCGCAGCCGAUGAUUGAUGGCAACUUAUCGCCCGACCCGAGCGCUACUUGUAAGGGGGACAGCACGUUGCCCUGCUCCGCGAGUAGUGGCCAAACCCAGUCAAGCCGCAGGUGUAAGAGCACAAUUGAUGAGAAUGAUAAUUUUGGUGUAUACUUUUAUAAAUAUGAAAAAGUGUAGAAGCCCACAGAGAC
rnacentral:misc_RNA from 1 species